rnacentral:lncRNA from 1 species
GCACGUAAACUAAAACACAUAAAGUAAAUUGAAGAAACAACUUCAUGCAUUCCUCAAACUCUAAAGCAGCUACUCAGUUACCUGCUUAUUUGUAUUCCGAAUAGGAGCACAUACCACAUCAUUAACAAACGUGUGAGAAAUCACAAACAAUAUUAACAUGCAUAUAUUACAAGAUAGGAUAUCAAACACAACAUUUUCUACACAAUCUCAUUCACAUUAUAUUAUAAUACAUUCUCACACCUAUACUCAUCAACCAAUCACAA